AACUCACAGAGAUCUGUUUGCCUCUGUCUUCCAAGUGCUGGGAUUAAAGGUGUGCACCACCACUGCCAUAGUGAAUAGUCAACCGUAUUUUAAUGUCAUUGGUUUCUUUUGUGAUCCUGUUUUAUCUUAAAUAUUGGGAAGGACUCUGAGUCUUUAGUUCCUAGGUUUCAACAGGCAAAGUCACAGAGGUGAAGCCACCCCUGGUGAGAUUUUACCUUAGGUUGAGGUGACUGUAGCUAUGGUCUUUUUUUUUUUUUUUAAAGAUUUAUUUAUUUAUUAUAUGUAAGUACACUGUAGCUGUCUUCAGACACUCCAGAAGAGGGAGUCAGAUCUUGUUACAGAUGGCUGUGAGCCACCAUGUGGUUGCUGGGAUUUGAACUCUGGACCUUCGGAAGAACAGUCGGGUGCUCUUACCCACUGAGCCAUCUCACCAGCCCCAGCUAUGGUCUUUUGGCCUGGAGUUAAGCACAAAAGAUCAAGCACUUACUCAGCUUGGGGUCUGAAUGGCUUCCGCUAAUCUGAGGCAGUUCUCUGCAUACCCUAGUUGCCCUUGAACUUGGCUAUGUAGAGUAGCCUGGCUUUGAGCUCAUAAAGGUCCAUCUGCCUCUGCCUCCUAAGCAUUGGGAUUAAAGCUAUCACACUUGGCUCUUGCUACUCCUCAGUUUCUAGGCUUCCAAAGAGUGGUGCUGCAUGCGUGCCUGGGGCCCCGGCCCCAGAGGGCAGGGGCAAGAAGAGAGAAAGCUUCAAGAUCCUGUCUCACAAACCAGAAAUUUAGGCUUCCACAUCCCAAACCCAAAGUUACUCUACUUUUGUUUGUGUCGCUCCCCCCUCCCCCAUGGACAAUAGACAUUCAAGAUUCAAACCCACUUUGGUGUGUCGUUCCCUCACCUGCCAUAGCAGGAGAGAGAACUAAUAUAGAUGAAUAGCAGGUGAUUCUUUUAAUGUUGCUGGUUUGUCCCAUUUCAUGAGAGACACUAUAGAUAAGUAUAUAUGGGGAGUACUGAUUUUAUUUACAAAAAAAAAAAAUGUACAUUUAGUGUGCUUGUGUGUGUGUGGCAUGCCGGAGUACAUGGUGUCUUUAUCAAUGAACAGCUUUCAGGAUUCAGUUCUCGCCUUCCACUGUGUGGGUCCCAGGGGUCAAAUUCAGUUUGCCAGGCUUGGCAAGCAAGCACCUCUACUCACUGAGCUAUCUUGCUGGCCCAAUGAGAUUUUUUCUUUUUCAUGUAUUUAUUUUAGUUUAUAAUUGUUCUUGCAAGUAUGUAUGUGCACCUCACCUCUCACGCAUGCCUGGUAUCUGACGUGGUUGGUCGGAGAACAUUUCUGAUCCCCUGGAACUGGUGUUAGAGAUGGUGUCUGCUACCAUGUGGGCGCUGGAAAUCCAACCCAGGUUCUCUGAAUGAAUACAUGCUCUCAACUGAGCUGUCUCUUCGGGUGAUAUUAUAAAUAACAAAACUGUUGUGAAAUAUGGAGUCAUUGAGUCAGAACUGACCCAUAAUGGAGGACUAUCUAGGAGAUGGAAAAGAAUCCUUCCCUCAACCCUCCCCAAAAAAGGUUGAAUUCUGAAAUUAAGCACAAAGUGGUGGUGGCACACAUCUUUGAUCCCAGCACGUAGGAGCCAGUUGGAUCUCUGAGUUCAAGGCCAGACUUGUCUCGAGGACAGCCAAGGCUACACAGAGAAAUCACAUCUUG
rnacentral:lncRNA from 1 species